UGGUGAUUUUUUUAUGCGACUGCCGAAAAAGGUUCAACAUAUUGAAAAUUUUUCGGUGACAGUGGCGACAAUUUGG